rnacentral:rRNA from 1 species
AAUAUUGGACAAUGGUGGCAACCCUGAUCCAGCCAUGCCGCGUGUGUGAAGACGGUCUUCGGAUUGUAAAGCACUUUAAGUUGGGAGGAAGGGCUUUGGGUUAAUACCCUGAAGUUAUGACGUAUCCAACAGAAUAAGCACUGGAUAACUCUGUCCCAGCAGCCGCGGUAAUACAGAGGGUGCAAGCGUUAUUCGGAAUUACUUGGCGUAAAGCGCGCGUAGGUGGUUCAGUAAGAUGGGUGUGAAAUCCCCGGGCUUAAACUGGGAACUGCUUUCAUAACUGCUGAGCUAGAGUACGGUAGAGGGUAGUGGAAUUUCCUGUGUAGCGGUGAAAUGCGUAGAUAUAGGAAGGAACACCAGUGGCGAAGGCGACUACCUGGACUGAUACUGACACUGGGGUGCGAAAGCGUGGGGAGCAAAC